UCCAUAGACCACGUCUACACGGGUUCCGGA
rnacentral:piRNA from 1 species